GCGAUGCGAGCAAGCCGUGAGUGAUGAGGGCCGCGUCUUUUGCAGAAUUUUGCAUGCGGCCGCACAGGAGCGGCUCGCAGUUUCAAUUAGUCGCUACAAACCCCGAAUGCGCUCCUGUAGCCCAGCUUUGUUUACAGUUGCUUUUCGAUGCCGCUAAAUACAGUUGCUCCCACGUUGCUUUGUCCAAAACAACAAAAGCAACUACAAUAAGCUAAUGUCAACGAAAAGUUCAAAAGCUGGGCACACUUCAAACAAACGGCACUUUUUUUAUUGAUGUCUAGCAUUGUUGUUGUUGUGAGAGAAUGUCAAUGAAAACGUUAGACGGCAGAAUAGAAGGAAUUGAAGCGUCGAAGUCAUUAAAAACUAUCAAAUAAAUUUGAAAACAAAAUAAACUUUAACUAGCAAAUUGGACGUGGCAAAAUGUGAAGAAACUAAUUAGCCAUAACGAACCAAUGGAAGAAAAAUGGGAACAAGAACGCGCGUGAAAGAGGAAGAACAGGUGCGGCGCUGCCCUCGUUGGGUGCUUUGACAUUUGCAGUGGCCAAAGGUGAGCGACGAAAAGAGAGUGAGAGAGAGAGAGAGAGAGAGAGAGAGAGAGAAGCUGAGUUGGGGCAAGCGAGGUGAUGAUGCAGAGAUAAGAAAUGUGGAAAUUUACUUAUAUUUUAUUUUUGUAACUUACCUGAAUCUCGAGCAAAAGCUCCUGCUUUUUUCUACGCAGCUCAAUCAGCAGCUUUUGCUGCUCCGGUGUCAAUUCUGCAAGAAUAAAACAUAAUUCUUAAGCGUG